UGUACAACUAGAAUGUGGUGGUGAACGUGAUGACAUCUUAAGGCAGAAAAAGGCUGAGAUGCAAAGGAUGGGCCAAGAGGAGAGAGAAACCAUAGCACAAGAAGCUGGGCUGAAGAUUGAAGUACCUGAAGGGCAAGGGCUGGCCAUGAAAGCAGACAUAGGGAUACCCUGGAACAAAUUAAGAGAGUUGAAAAGUCCUCAAUCAUUCCUAAAAUGCACAUCCUCGAGGACCAUGUUAUUACCUGGGUCAAGAUGUACAACACAGGAUUUGGGUUACUGGGUGAGCAAGGGAUUGAGUCUGUGCACCACCAGUUCAACAAGCUGAGUGCUGAUUACGCUGGUGUGAGAAAUAGGAGCAAUCGUGUUAAAUGGGUAAUGGAGGAGCACCACAGACGAUGCCAUCCAGAAAACAGAUCAUAUGUCCCAGUCCGAAAACAACGCAAAUGCAUAGAAGAAUAGGGACAUGCAACAAUGUCACAACUAGAAAUCAAGAUUUUCUUAAAACUCUCCAGUACCUUCUUUCCUGAGUAAACCAUUAUAUAUUUGAAUUUAAUCGUUUUGAAUAUUGUUUACACAAUAUGACAUAACAAUAUAUUAAUACUAUUGUACAAAUGUAAGUAAAAAACAAUAUAUUAAUACUUGUACAAAUGUAAGUAAAACAUUGCUAAUGUAAAUAAGCCUUUUUCUGUAGUCACACAAUAAUUAACGUAAAUAAUAAAUAAAUAAUGUACAUAUUGUAAAGAAUACAAAUUGUAAACAUUGAAACAUAAAUUAAAGUGAAAACUUUCUCUUCUUCA